rnacentral:rRNA from 1 species
GACGAACGCUGGCGGCGUGCUUAACACAUGCAAGUCGAACGGAGAAUUUAUUUCGGUAAAUUCUUAGUGGCGAACGGGUGAGUAACGCGUGGGCAACCUGCCCCUUCAGAUGGGGACAACAUCCCGAAAGGGGUGCUAAUACCGAAUACGAUCACGCUGCCGCAUGGCGGUGUGAUGAAAGAUGGCCUCUAUUUAUAAGCUAUCGCUGAAGGAUGGGCCUGCGUCUGAUUAGCUAGUUGGUGGGGUAACGGCCUACCAAGGCGAUGAUCAGUAGCCGGUCUGAGAGGAUGAACGGCCACAUUGGGACUGAGACACGGCCCAAACUCCUACGGGAGGCAGCAGUGGGGAAUAUUCCGCAAUGGACGAAAGUCUGACGGAGCAACGCCGCGUGAGUGAUGAAGGUUUUCGGACUGUAAAACUCUGUUGUUUAGGACGAAAGUGCCUGUUGCAAAUAGUUGCAGGUAUUGACGGUACUGAACGAGGAAGCCACGGCUAACU